UACGGGGGGGGCAAGCGUUGUUCGGAAUUACUGGGCGUAAAGGGCGCGUAGGCGGCCAGCACAAGUCAGUUGUGAAAUCUCCGGGCUUAACUCGGAAAGGUCAACUGAUACUGUGCGGCUAGAGUGCAGAAGGGGCAACUGGAAUUCUCGGUGUAGCGGUGAAAUGCGUAGAUAUCGAGAGGAACACCUGCGGCGAAGGCGGGUUGCUGGGCUGACACUGACGCUGAUGCGCGAAAGCCAGGGGAGCGAACGGG
rnacentral:rRNA from 1 species